GUAUUACUCCCUCCGUUCGGAAUUACUUGUCUCGGAAAUGGAUGUAUCUAGAACUAAAAUAUGUCUAGAUACAUCCAUUUUUGCGACAAGUAAUUCCGAACGGAGGGAGUAGUUC
rnacentral:pre_miRNA from 1 species